rnacentral:rRNA from 1 species
CCCAGUGACUCUUUUAAACGGCCGCGGUAUCCUAACCGUGCAAAGGUAGCAUAAUCACUUGUCUCUUAAAUAGAGACUAGAAUGAAUGGCUAAAUGAGGACUAAUCUGUCUCUUACGGACCAACCAAUGAAAUUAAUCUUUCAGUACAAAAGCUGAAAUAAAAACAUAAGACGAGAAGACCCUGUGGAGCUUCAAACCAAACACACCCUGCAUGCUCCUUAGGUUUUUAGUUGGGGCGACUUCGGAGCACAAUAAAACCUCCAAAAUUUUUAUCUUCAAGAUUAACAAACCAAAAACUUUAUUAGACCCAGCAAUGUAUAACAUUGUCUGACCACUGAACCAAGUUACCCCAGGGAUAACAGCGCCAUCCCCUCCUAGAGUCCAUAUCGACAAGGGGGUUUACGACCUCGAUGUUGGAUCAGGACACCCCAAUGGUGCAGCCGCCAUUAAAGGUUCGUUUGUUCAACGAUUAAUUAGUCC